GGGAGGCAGUGACAAGAAAUAACAACCCAGAACAUUGUUUCCGGGAUUGCAAUGAGAACAAUUUAAAUCUCUUAGCGAGGAACAAUUGGAGGGCAAGUCUGGUGCCAGCAGCCGCGGUAAUUCCAGCUCCAAUAGCGUAUAUUAAAGUUGUUGCAGUUAAAAAGCUCGUAGUUGAAUUUCUGAUUAUGGAUGUAGCGGUUUCCGUUACAUUUGUAGUCAUCCACAUGAGAACCUUUCUCGGCCUUCACUGGUCGGUUGGGGGAUCAUGUACUUUACUUUGAAAAAAUACAGAGUGUUUCAGGCAGGCGUUUGCAUGAAUACACAAGCAUGGAAUAAUGGAAUAGGACUAGGGUCCAUUUUAUGGUUAUUGGACCAUAGUAAUGAUUAAUAGGGACAGUUGGGGGCAUUAGUAUUAAUUGUCAGAGGUGAAAUUCUUGGAUUUAUUAAAGACUAACUUAUGCGAAAGCAUUUGCCAAGGAUG
rnacentral:rRNA from 1 species